GUGGAUCAGGCGCUGCUGGGAGGUGGGUGCGCGACGUCUUCGCCCCUCUAAACGCGGCUCCUACUCUGUAACUAACAGACACCCACAGACGUGUCUGUAGCAUCCUCUGUAACACUGGGACCCGUACUGGCAGCAGGAGCCGUAGGGAGGACCCUGGGACACCUGGAAGCCAGGAAAUGAACUCAGUGACCUUUGAGGAUGUGGCUGUGAACUUCACAUAGCAGGAGUGGGCUUUGCUGGGUCCUUCCCAGAAGAAUCUCUACAGAGAUGUGAUGCGGGAAACCUUCAGGAACCUGAUGUCUGUAGCAGUCCUAUGGUAGAGAGAGUCUGUGAAGGUAAAGAAAGAUGGUCAAUGUGAAGAAAUCUUCAGCCUUAUUCCACAUGGUAUAGUGAAGAAGACUUUUACUGGAGUCAAACCAUGUGAAAGCAGUGUGUGUGGAGAAGGCAAUCUGGAUCAUUCAUCUCUUAAUUGCUGCAUCAGAGCUGACACUGGACACAAAUCAUGUGAGUGUCAGGAACACAGAAGCCACAUAAGCAGUGUGUGAAAACCUUCAGCUUUUGCCACUCCUUUCAAACACGUGAAAAGCCUCACACUGGAAAGAAACUCCAUGAUUGUAGGAAAUGUGGAAAAACCUUCAUUCUGUUCAAACCUUUCGAAGAAACCUGGUAAUUCACAAUGAAGAUGAACCUUAUAAAUGUGAGUUUUGUGGGAAGGCUUUUGAUAAUCUACAUUUAUAUCUUACACAUGAAAGAACUCACACUGGAGAGAAACCUCAUGA